rnacentral:lncRNA from 1 species
CUUGACCAGCUCUAAAGCCAUGCAGUGGGUUAAGCUAUGGAAAUGUUGUUGAUCACAGACAAAAUUGUGUUCAAAAUCCCCAAAACUGGGAACACUUUUAGAUUGAUUUGUUUGUUUCUUUUCAGAAUUCUCCUUCCUCGGGCGGCAGUCAAGUGAGCUCUGCUGGGAAACACUCCACUCCCGGGUUCCUGCUGUUAUUCAGUGUUUUGAGUGCCUUUGCUCUCUCUGCUGCUACAUCAAAAUGGUCUAUAUGAACUUCUGAAGAGUUGUUUGGCAUCCUAGACAUGGAUUAUAUUCCGUAAUAUCAGAUUAAUUACUUGUUGUAAGAAAAACAAAAUACCCUUAAGUUGAAUUGGCAGAUGCUACUUGGCUGUUAUGUUCUAUGUGUAGCUAGUAUGUCAUGCCUCUCAUUAGUUUACUUUUCAUUUUAGUCAUUAGUAGAUACCAUUAGUUUUGUCAGUGUUUUAGGCAUCAUUUUAAGAGAGCAUAUUGUACCCUACCUAUAUGAUUUAUUUUUAUUUCCCACGGGGAAUGCAAUGAACAUGAAAUCUGAUUGAUGCUACAAACAAAUCCUUAAAAACUAUUUGGCUAUUGACAAGAGCGGAGGAGGUCAAACAAAUUGUUGUAUAUUGAAACCACCUGGGCAUCAUCACUUGAAAUAAGGCUAAGGUGAACAUCUGACAAGCAGUCCUCCAUGGGACAGAAGAAAAGAUGCUAGAAUAAUAUCAGAGUAUUGGGUUUAGCGUAGCCAUGGGACUAAAAUUUUGGGGAGUUAAUUAUUCAUUAAAGAAGCCAAACAGCCAAACAGAGAAAUGCUAAAUUCUGUUCAAAUACCUGAAGUUCUGUAGAGAAGCAUAUGAGGCAAAUGCACCUUAGGUUAGGCUGGUAGUCUAAAAGCUGCUGAAAACCAAUGCAUUUUCCCUUGGGAAGGAAUGGAAAUUUAAUUAAGUUCAUAAAACUGUUAGUUUCUUGGCUCUUUUUCUCAAGUAUUUAGUCUAACCUGUGAUGUCCGAUGUAUCUUCAAGUUUAAUAUCAAGAAUGAUGCUGACA